UGUUAAAAUUUUUAUCCAUUUUUACUGUUAAAAUUUAGUGUAACUAACAGAAUAAUAGAUAGUUACAUGUGGCGUACCAUGUAUGCCUUAUGCUAACGUACAUAGACUAGUUUUUAAUGAUAAAAAUGGAUGAAAUUUUUAAUG
rfam:Gossypium arboreum cultivar AKA8401 contig_725_1, whole genome shotgun sequence.